CUUCCUCACUCCCCCUCCCCCGUGAAAAUGCUCGCCGUCGAAGCUCCCAGCAGCCGCAAUUUCCACAGAGCCUAACGCCGAUGAGCAGUCGCCGAUCUGAAGCCUCUUCAGCGCGCCACUAGUCAGACGUGAAGCCCAGCCACACGUUAGCUUCGUUCGACGUCGUCUGUCAGAUCUGUUGGAGUCGCGCUGGCCUUCACGCGCGAACUAGCCCAGCUGAGCGACGCCACCACUUCGAGCUUCAACUCUAGCCGCUGCCUUCAUGACUAGCCACCACACCAUUUCUUCCAAUAGCCACUCGACGCCACCCAACCCUGUUUGGUUGAGGCCGAGCUGCUCGUCCAACCCGACGCCCGAGCCCAGCCGCCGAUCUCCGUUGGUCACUGCCUUCCUUCGCUGUCGUUCAUCGGAUUUCGGCUAGUGUUGAUCCAAGAUCGGCGUACUUCGGAGUGCACAACGUGCUGCCUAGCGGAUUCGAGUUCGUUCAGCAAGUAGUUUGUAUUUUGAAGGUUCUAAGUCGUCGUCCAUUUGGGUUUUAAAAUCUGCCAAGAGGAGAUUUUGGAGUCGAAAUCUUACAAGUGUUUGUUGAUCAAAUUUCGUUUGGGUAAGUUAAUUGGUGAUCGUUGGAUUAAAUUUGUAUGUUUGGGUCUUGGUUCCAAAGACUGAAAUUUAGUAUUAUGUCUGUAUUAGGGGACUUAAUUCAGGAUUUAUUUUGUUGGAGACCAUUAUCUUGGAUUAAUAUCUGAAUUUGACUUCGAUGUAAGUAAUCCUACCCACGGCCAGACACUAGAUAUAUGCCAGCAUGAUAGUUGAUUAUUAUGACAAAACGAUAGCAUGAUAGAUGGAUAGUAUAGUAUGACCGAUAUAUGUUAUUGUAUGAGAAUCUGAAAGAUUUAUUGAUGCACGUAGAUACUUGCAUGCUAGUAAGAAAUGAUACUUGAUUCACUAAGAUUGUAUUUGAUAUGAAGAUAUUGAGGCAUAUAUGCAUGUGGUAUAGCCAUGAUGUUGAGGUGUAUAUGUAUGUUAUAGAACCAUAUUGUGAUAAUUGUGAUGUUAAGACUGUGAUAGUGUCUUUACUGAUUAGUUAGAUGCCCACUAGAUAUUGUGUUUCCUUCGGGAUCCACCAAAUAUUGUGUUUCAU